UCCGUAGGUGGAUCAAUCAGUCAGAGGUGAAAUCCUGCAGCUUAACUGUAGAACUGCCUUUGAUACUGUUGAUCUUGAGUCAUUAUGAAGUGGUUAGAAUGUGUAGUGUAGCGGUGAAAUGCAUAGAUAUUACACAGAAUACCGAUUGCGAAGGCAGAUCACUAAUAAUGUACUGACACUGAGGGACGAAAGCGUGGGGAGCGAACAGGAUUAGAUACCCUGGUAGUCA
rnacentral:rRNA from 1 species